CAUUUAUAACAAUGAAGGAACCCAACCAAGGCCACGAAUUUGCGCAAAACCCAAUCUCGAAGAUAACCCGAUUGCCUGCAUUUGUUCGGCAAUUGUAAAUUUUGGAAUUAUCAAUGGCUAUAUCGUUCCUUGAUCUCCCGUUUCUUCCUCCAUUAUCCAGUCCUUACUUUCCUGCGCAUCUACUUUCACAGAACAAAACUCACAGCUUCUCCAUAUGUCUGCUUCCUGCAUCUGCAGUACCUUCGCUUCCAUUAUGCCCUUUCUUUGUCCUGCAUCACCCCACCUGUGAAUAACCAAAAUAGAAAGUAGGGCAAGAACCUUGUGAAUGUGGAUGGAACAAUAAAAACGAAGGAGAGAACCUUGCAAAGAGAGACAGAGAGAAGAGAGAGAGAGAGGGAACCCCGAUGGGAAAGGACGGCAGUGGCGUUGGAGCAGCGGUGGUGUCCACCCCCUCUCUUAUUUCCUUUUCCUGCCUCGACGCCAAGACCUUAAUCGUCACCCUCGUUGUCCUCUCUCUAGUGCUGGCCGUUUGGCAACUUCAACCCUACGAACUCGUCCUCUUCUCCUCAUCCUGCACCAUCUACAACUACUCCACUUCCACGUCUAGUCUCAAGCAAAAGACUGCAUCUUCCAGCAUCUCAACGGUCUCCUUAUCCUCCAUCACUUCAUCGUCCUCCUUUUCACGCAUCCCUCCCCGCUUCAACUCAACCAUACCUGCUGGUGACCAAAGGAUACGCACGUUCCGGCCUUAUGGCAGUGCAGCCGCCCUCUUCGUCCAAAUGGGCGCUUACCGCGGCGGACCCAACACCUUCGCCAUUGUCGGCCUUGCCUCCAAGCCCACCCACGUUUUCGGCAAGCCGUGGUUCAAGUGCGAGUGGGUUUCCAACUCCAAUACCUCGCCACCCAUCCGCGCCAAAGCAUACAAGAUGCUACCUGACUGGGGCUACGGCCGCAUCUACACUGUGGUCGUUGUGAACUGUACCUUCCCCGUCGUCCCCAACGCCGACAACGCCGGCGGCCGACUCUUCCUCUACGCCUACUAUUCCCCCUCACCUCGCCGAUACGAGAAGCUUGUCGCCCUCGAAGAAGCUCCUGGCUCUUUCAAUGAAGCCCGAUUCCAUCCUCCCUACAAGUACGAAUACCUCUACUGUGGUUCCUCCCUUUAUGGAAACUUGAGCUCGAGCAGAAUACGGGAGUGGAUGGCUUACCACGCUCACUUCUUCGGCCCAAGAUCGCAUUUUGUCUUCCAUGACGCUGGCGGCGUGAGCCCGUCGGUGAGGGCGGUGCUGGAGCCUUGGGUGAAGCUCGGUCGGGCUACUGUUCAGGAUAUCAGGGCUCAGGCGGACUAUGACGGAUACUACUAUAAUCAAUUCUUGGUUGUCAAUGACUGUCUUCAUCGUUACAGGCAUGCGGCGAACUGGACUUUCUACUUUGAUGUGGAUGAGUAUAUCUAUUUGCCCGAUGGGAGAACACUUGAGGAAGUGCUUGGUGAACUUUCCCAAUAUACGCAGUUCACGAUUGAGCAAAAUCCAAUGUCAAGUACUCUCUGCGUCAGAGAUCCCAGUAAGGAUUAUUCAAGGGAAUGGGGAUUUGAGAAGCUGGUAUUCAGAAAUUCAAUCACCGGAGUGAGGAGAGAUAGGAAAUAUGCAAUCCAAGCAAAAAAUGCCUAUGCAACUGGAGUGCACAUGUCUGAAAAUGUCAUUGGCCCAACCACACAUAAGACUGAAUCCAUGAUCAAAUACUAUCAUUACCACAACUCCAUCAAUGUAUUGAGUGAGCCAUGCCGAGAGUUCAUCCAAAUGCCUUCCAAAGGCAAUUUGACUUGGCAUCAGAAGAUCCCAUAUGUCUAUGAUGAAAACAUGAAGCGUUUAGCUGACAAAAUUAAACAAUUUGAGUUGAAAACAAUUGGAGAUCUCUACAAAAACUAACUUCACCCUGGUUUUGAAGGCAUUAGCAUUCUUUUAGUGAAUGCCAACUUGGCAAAUUGAGAAAUUUGAGUCUUCUUGUCAGAUUCGAGGAGAAGUUUGAAGAAGGGCCUGAUGGAGGGUCCUCCAGUUGAGUGGCUGCUGUCAGCUUCCUUAUUGAUGCUUGUGACUGCAACAUUUUGAGUGUGUGCAGCUGGAGUAACUUUUCUAUUUUGCUAUAUAUGUUGCAUUUAUACUAACUCCAGCUUGACCAUCGAAUAUUUCGGUGCUGUUAUUUUUCCAUGCUGAUUCGGUGUUCCAGAUUUUUUUUUUUUUGAAGUGCUUUGAAAAUAAUCAGCGCUGAAGCACAAAAUAUGCUCACGCACAGCAUAUAAUGCUCUAUAAUUUAGGUGCUUUGCGGAGGAGCUGAAGUCUGUCAUCCAAUGGAGUUUUUAUUAUGUACCGAACGGUUCUCCUGCCUGGUUACGUGCUCGGUAGGGCUGCAAACGAAUCGAGCCGAGCCGAGUAU